rnacentral:misc_RNA from 1 species
GAUGAAGAACGUAGCGAAAUGCGAUAAGUAAUGUGAAUUGCAGAAUUCAGUGAAUCAUCGAAUCUUUGAACGCACAUUGCGCUCCCUGGUAUUCCGGGGAGCAUGCCUGUUCGAGCGUCAUUACAACCCUCAAGCUCUGCUUGGUGUUGGGCCCCGCCGCCCCGGCGGGCCCUAAAGUCAGUGGCGGUGCCGUCCGGCUCCGAGCGUAGUAAUUCUUCUCGCUCUGGAGGUCCGGUCGUGUGCUUGCCAGCAACCCCCAAUUUUUUUCAGGUUGACCUCGGAUCAGGUAGGGAUACCCGCUGAACUUAAGCAUAUCAUAAGCGGAGGA